UUGAAGAUGGGAAAAUAAACUUAAAUCUGUGCUACAUGAUUCUGCACAAGUUCAAGAUAAUACGAUUCCACUCAAAAUGAGAUAAUGCAAACACCAUGGCAUGUGAACACGAUCACGUCACACCACAGCAAAGUUUGAAACGUUGAAAUAAACAUCAGUACCAUCGUAAAAGCCUAAAGUGUUCUUGUGUCAGUGAUGUCCGUGUCUGUUGCUCAGACCAUGUUUGAAGCAUCUUAUAACCAGCAGGUGACAUUUCAUUGUAUGGAGCAGGAGUGACGUCAGAAGGCCUGAUCCCCCCCCCCAGGUCCGUUUAAAGCUGCAGGAGAACAGGAGGACAAAAUGCAGCUUCCCUCAGCCGCAGUUUCCGAGAAAGUCAAAAUGCUUCAACUGAUUUAUUUUUGCUGGAUCCAGAAACACUGCAGCGUCCAUAGCCGCGGGAAGCAGGGAUGCAGCUCCCCCUGGUGGUUGACAGAAUAACUGAGUCCCAUUGCAGCCUCCAAUCUGCCAAGUGUAGUGAAAACACUUGUGAAAACGUGUCCAUCUAUUUGAAUGAUUCUUAAUUACAGGAAAAAAAAGAAAAAAAACCCACAAGGUCUCACCGAGAACUCACCCAGAACUGCACGGAGAUAGAAAACUGUAUUAUUUGUAUUGUUUGAAUUCAUGCACAUUUCAGUCGCUGAGUGUAAAAAUGUUUGGCAGAGUAAUGACGUGUUUGAAAUUAAAUCCAGAUUGAUGUCACUUCUUUUGUUUCACAGCCAGAGCCACGAUACAAACAGACAACGAUGUUGGGGGAAGUUCCUCUUUACCCACAGCAACUGCAGCACCUUGAAUAAUGGAAACAAUUUGAAAUACUGACCCACACCUACACAACAAUCAGCCAGUGAUGGACACAUUAAGAAUUAAUAUUACUACUAAUGGGGGACGACCUACGCAGGAAAGUUUUGGCCUCACAGGAGACGAAAAAAAAGUUGAAAACUGAAGCAGCAGAUGCAGAGAUAUCCCAACCUUUCGUCUGUUGCAUGGGUCAAAGUCCAAAUACGACGGAUCUUACAUUUCC